UCAGCUUUCGCCUACAGCAUAAUAUUCAUGCACUUUAACUUGGCUCUUCCAACUGCCCUGGAAUGGAGAAUGAUGUGAAGUUGUACUGAAUUUUGCCCAGUGACAGGCCCUUGUGACCUGGUUGCCCUGGGUACAGGGGUUGAAGUCAAAACUUAUUGAAAGUCAGUUGCGUCCUGGACACAAAGGAGGAAUCAGUUGGCUUUACUGCUGCAGAUUCACAGGCUCUUGGAGUCAGUCAAACCGAAGGAGUUGGGAAAGGAGAACCCACAACAGGUGCUGCUAUGCCAAGCAGAAGAAAAGGAUGGCUUUUGGGUAAGCCACCAAGUAGAAGGCUGAAGAGGUUGGAACACAUGUUAGAAGAAACAAGGAUUGUGAAGAGUUAAGGACCACAGAAUCACAAAAGGAUACCUUGUAAUGAAAAGUCCAGUCGAUUAUGCUGAAGGGGUUGAGUGAAUGGGACUUUUUCAAAAGGACACUGAAUGAUUCACUCUGGUGAAGGAGGGAGAAGGGAUCCUGUUAAGACCUGGGAGUAGCUUUGGGCUUAAAACUCAAGAUUACAAAUCUACAGAGAGUGCAGUGUAAUGCAGUGUGGGGUUUUUGGUUAUGUUAAGAAGCUGCUAGGGAAUACCUUUUCCAUAGUUUACUGUAUUAGCUGCUUACUAAGUAAUGUAUAGUUAAUAUUGAUUUUAAUUUGUUUUUACAGUAAAAAUUCUUAAAACAUGAAAUUUUCUUGUGUGAUCCUUUGCAUGGAUCACUGGAAGACUCAUUGAUCUUUUUAAAAUUAUCAGUCUCUAUGCAGAUCAUAACAAUGCUUUGCGAUACCUGAGGGAGUUAUGAGUCACUAUUUGCACAAAAGCUUUUUUAAAUAUGAGGGAUUUCACUACUUGGGAAAUUUGUGUUCUCUGAUGCAAAGAAAACUCCUCCCAAUCAUUCUUUUUUAUAACAGAGGCCAAAAUAUUCCAACCUAAAUUAGCAUAAUUAAUUAACUCUCUGUCAAUGGUAAAAAUUGAACUCAACAAUGUGCAAAAAGUGUAUCUUGCCACAGGUAAUGAUUUGUUUACAGGUAGUUUACAAUUUAAUAGACAGAAAUUUUGCAUGUAUUUCCACCCGAAUAUAAUGGCAGACAUAACUGUCAUGUUACAAAAUUCUGCUUUAUAUGUAUGAAAACUGCAGGCUUGGGAUGGUGACAUGAUUUCCACUCCCUAAAUGGCUUCAAUUGAUUACUGCAAUGUUAGACUGUUGCGAUUGUAGGUGUUUUCGUGUUCAAAGAAUUCAAUAUUACAUCAUACAAGUUAAACGUAUAGAGCAAAGGAAUCUUUCAGUACUCUGCAGUUCUGACAUUAUCUAAAACAUAUGCAGGAUAUAUCAAACUCUAAGCAGGUUCUGAAGUAUAAUAGUAAGAAUGGUUAAUUCAAGAGUUUGCCAGAAGAUGCUGAGAGAACAAUAAACAAUUUUAAACACU